rnacentral:lncRNA from 1 species
GAAGGCAUAAGUGAGGGAAGUCCAGGUUUCACCGUCGAACCUUAUGUUCGGCCGCCGAACAUGGCAUGCAUGCGGAGGCACGCUAGGCCCCCGAAAGUGGCCUGGCCAGCCACCUAUAAAGGGGUCCCCAUGUUCGAACGGGCAAGCUUUUCUCCCCAUUUUCGGCCAAGGUGAGUCUCCGCCUCCCUCACGCCGAUCUUGAGUUCUUUCUUCAAAUCUUUCAUGAUUUUUAUGAGUUUUCACCUUUAUUUUGAAGAUAUUUGAACAAAAGAGCAAGUUUUGGAACUUGGAGACCCAAGGAGCGAGAUCUUUCCCAUCUCCGAGUUAGAUCGUCUCUCCUCUCGAUCUUCAAGAGGUAAGAGUAGAUCCAUACUUCUUUUUAUGUUUUAAACGAGUUUUAUGAAGUUUGAUGAGGUAGAAAUGCAUAUUUAGGUUUGUAUUGAGUUUAUGGGUCUAUGUUAUGUUUUAUGAGCAAUGUGGGUAGUAUGUGUAUGUUUGAUGUGUUUUGGUUGAGGUUUAAGUUAGUUUGAGACCCCUAUAUGCUUGUUAGCUUGAGUUUGCAUGUUGUAGAAUAGGUAAAUGCAUGUGUGAAUGGUUUGAGAGGUAUUUGUGCAUGAAAGAGGCUGAAUUCUGCCCUUGGUAAGAACUCAGGUUCGGCAGCCGAAGGCUCUUUCGGUCGCUGAACCUGCCUGUGGAGGCCAACUUUUGGCUGCUGAACCCUGCCCCCGAAAGUGGACUUUCGGCUCUGGAAGGGAGUUUCGGCCGCCGAAGGUACCGCCGAACAUGCAUGAGUUUUGUCUCUGGAGGGAACCUUCGGCCACCGAAAGUGCCGCUGAAGGUGCAUGACUUUCGGCUCUGGAGGGACUUUCGGCCGCCGAACCUGCCGCCGAAAGUGCCCUGUUCAGCCUUCUUUUGCAUGAUUUAUGUGAUUGUUUCAUGGUGUUUUAGGGGGUUUUUGGGGAGUAUUUUAGAGUCAUGUUCAUGUAUGUUUGGUCCCUCAUUUGAGUCCACCUGUGUAGGUUCGGACCCGAGGAAUCGAGGACCCCAGUAGUGAGUCAGCUGCUUCAGAGUCUUGUCAGAGCUAGCCUAAGGUGAGUGGAAUAACUCUUUAUGCUUUAAAGUAAAUAAAUCAGUUCUUAGCAUGAUUCACGCAUCAUGAAUGCCAUGAGAUAUAUUAGGGUGCUUGCAUUAGAAUUCACGAGUAUGUUGCAUUGCAUAAUAUGAUGAUGAUGUGGAUGGGUGUUGGAUGAUCCUUUAGUCCUCGUAUGAUAUGAUGUGAUAUGAUAUGGUAUGGUAUGGAAGUCCAGGUCGAGGCCCAUUCUACGCCCCUGGCACUAUAGGAAUGUUAUGUUAUGUAUGUUAUGCUAAGAGAAAGACCAGGUCGAGGCCCAUUCUACGCUCCUGGCACUAUUGGGUAUGUUGAGGACUAUUGGUGACAAAACUAUCCUUGAUGUGACUUGUCUGUGAUGUGAUGCAUUUCAUUAUAGCAUAUGAUUUAAAUGUUUUAUUAUUCUGCUCAAUGGGCUCUAGUAGCUCACCCCACUCCCUUAACCCCGGGUUUGCAAGUACGGGUUAGACCAGGAGGUCAAGAAGAGUAAAGUCAUGGUCAUGUAAUAGCUAGUGGUGGACAUAAUAAGUAUUGAAAUGUAAUGAAUAGUAUUAAUUAGUUAUGUAAUGUAAUGAUGUUAUUGAGGAUUAUAGUUGUGCUUGACCCUAGUUGGAUGUUAAUCCCUUUGUUUACAUGAUCUUUCAAAUGUAAUGGUUUAAUGAUGUUUUAAGUAAGCCAAACUCACUAUAUGUUAUGUUACCCCAUUGGAGCUUUGUUGAGGACUCCAGUGUGGGGUUGAUGAUUAUGUAUAUGAAUAGUGCAUGCACAGGUUGAGUUUAGUGAUUGAAUGAAAAGAAAAGUUCAAAAUUUUUAUGUAUGUGUUGAUCAUGUAUGGGAUUAAACAGGUUUACAGGAUGAAUGUUUGGCUUGCUACGGGUCCCGGCGGUCUUAAGCCUAUCUGGAUCCUAGCGCCGGUAGCGGUCCGGAUUUCCGGGUCUUUACACUUCGUUCCUCGGGAGACUAGAUAUCUUUUUUGGUCUCCCUCAUAUCUUUACUUUUCGACUUUUAGUCUUGCUUUUAGCUCGUUCUUUUGUCCUCUUCCUGUCCUUUCCGGUACCCUUGAGCAGCCUACAUCAGCUUCCAGUCGAUGCCCUUCGGAGCAUCGUCUGAUGACUCCUCUUUCUCGAACUUGUCUUUCCUUUUGGACCGCAUUUGCACUGCCCCCUAUCAGAGUCCCUGAGGUAUCAACGGAGGCUUCCUCCCUUCCCCUAGGAGCCACGUGUGAUGCCUUCUCCCGAGUUUUGCAUUGCUCGAAAAAUAACCUGUAACAUUCUGACGUACUGGAGUAUUUGCUCAAUGCUCAUAUUGUUGGAAUCUGCUUCAUUGUUCAUAGAGGGUGUAUUUUGUCCACAGCCAGAGUAGAAGAAAUGAUAACAUUCUCACUAGUAGCAACCUCAGUAGCAGCUUGUGAAUUUUUUGCCAUUUCAAGAGAGCAGAGAGAGAUUUCCUUUUAGGAGAAAAGAGAAUAAGAGACCAGUUUUAAUCCAAAUGAGCAGGAGCGAUUUUCGAUAAUAGAAACAAAUGAUGCAACCAGAAAAUAGAGUUGUGCUGUAAUUGACUAAUCUUGCAAAAAAAAAAAGAUCGUAAGGUGGUGGGUGCUUCCGACAGUCACUCUGAUACUUAAGUCAGUAAAUUGAAGAAUAAAGCAAAUAUAAAACUUGAUAGUAGUUAUAUAAGAGAAUUGCAUAUUUUUAUCUUUGUGAUUAUUUCUCUUUUAUACUGUAAGAAGAUGAAGAUAAAUAUAAAAUUUUCUAAUAAUUCGAUGAUGAUGUGGUCAGCUGCUUGAUAAGGGAUCUCACCAGCUAAUAGGUCAGUGAUCCCGCCAUUAUAGGCUUAAUAGGGAUGUCUAGACUGUACCUAAUAACGGUAAUUUUAUACCGAGACUUGACCUAUCUAGGAGAAGACGAGUCUUAAUAAUGAACCGAGUAUAAAAAUUAUCUAGAUCUUCUUUUCCUCAGGUGACCUUAUUUUAUGGUGACAACUCAUAACUUAUUUUGAGCGAUCUUUAUAUAGCGUCAAUAAUAUAUACUUUUUUCAUUUUUAUUUUUUUAAAGCAAAACUACUGGUUGUAUUAAUUAAAUUUCAUCAAACAAAGAGGGAUAUCAUCCCAAACAGAAAGACGAUCAUGCCUAAUAGAUUCUCUAGUCAAAGUAUGAGCAACUAGAGUGGUAUGACGACGAACCCAUCUAGCAGAAAUAUCAGUUCUAGAGUCUAACAAAGAUUUAUAAUCAUUCAAAAUCAAAUCCAGUUCAGAAAUGUCUAAAUGUGGAGACUGAAGAGCUUGAACCACCUGCAAACAGUCCAUAAGAAUGCAGCCAUUAAAAGGCAAAAAUUCCGUCUCAAAGAGUAAACAGUGACAGAGAACUAAAGUUUCAACAAUUACUGGCGUACCAUUACUUUUCGAGAAAUCAGAAACACCACGUUAAAAUAUACAUUCAGAGUUUUCCACAACAAAACCGUAGCCAAUAAAAUCUUGAGCUUGAAACAAAUCCCCAUCAACUUGACAAAACCAACUGAAAUUGUCCAAACUUGAUACAAAUCCCGACGGAGCAUAAUUACUGAAAUCACGCAGCCACAGGCUUGUCGGUCUCUGGUUCCGACGAACAGGUGCUCUGAGGAAAUCAUCCCAACCAAACUUGAUAUCUUCUUUCUUCAACCUCAACAGCAAGUUACAAAAAGUCUCCACAUGACCCAGUUUUCCAUAUAGAUAACAAAAAAUAGUCAGCUUUUCGUAUUGAAAUUUCACAGUAAACACAAUACCAUCAUUUCCAACAAACUUAUUCCACCGUUUCAAAGUUUGUCGAAUGUCCAAACAAGCUUUAACUCUCAUAGGACCCGACGACAUAGCUUGUAUCUCCUUCCAAACAAGCAGGAAUCGAUUAUUCAACUAAGAGCCCCAUUCAACAAACUUUUUUCAUUUUUCAUUUAACAAUCAUAAUUUCAAGCCCUCUUAAACAUAUGAGAACUCCUUUGCUCUUAUCGCAUGCCACAAAGGCCAAUUGCCAUUUUCAUCUUCAAACCUCAUCACUCUUCAAUCGCUUCCCCCUUACCUUUUGCUCUAUCUCCUCUUGCAAGGUCAAAGCCUCACCCAGCUCACAUAUGAAGACUAUGACUUGAAUAGAAGAGUAUUUUAGUCUCAAUACUAAUUCAUUUAUUUUGAUUCAAUUUGAUUUAAUUAAAUUUAACUAUCAAUUUUAUUUUUUUUAGAAAAAAUACAAUCUUGUCAAAUUCAAAUUUUACCAAUGACGAAUCCAACGCGAAUUUUGAUCCAAACUUGUAUUAUGCUCUUGUCUAAUCAUUGUUUCUCUUUAUUAUUUACUAAUGAAUUUGAUCUAAGUCUCGCUUUAAAACUAAUUGAUGCCAAGGAGACGGCUAUGGAUAUUAAUGACCAUAAAUACACUCAAAAUGGCAUCAUACCAAUUAAAUAUUUUAAUUUUUUUUUAAAUAUCAUGUUGAAGUCUCAAAAUAAACCUAUUUUAACUUUAAAUAUUAUCAUUUGAAGUUUCAAAAUAAACCUAUUAUCAGAAAUAACAAAUCCUAAAGGUCAGUAUUUUAGUUUUUUAAAUUCAGUUUUUUUAAUGGAUGAGCUCAGAAGGUCAAAAGGUCAGUAUUUUAGUUUUUUAAAUUCAGUUUUUUCGGAGGAUGAGCUCAGAAGGUCUAUGAUUAGGAGGGACAGAGCUCUGGUAAAGACUCGUCAUCAUGAGGUUUGAUGUGUCGUCAGUAAUGAGGAAACUUUCUUCGAGUUUUCUCAUUGACCACACCUUCUUGGGGUGCAAAUCUUUAACAGUUGGCCUCCAUAAAUUUUCUGCUUUUCCACCCAUUUUCCGCGAUGCUGAUUAGGAGGAGAUCUCCAAUUUCCGAUUAAUAAGAAAAAUCAGUUGCAUAUAAAUGAAAAUUUAUAUGGAGCUUAAGUUUUUUAAAUAAUAUAUUAUUAAUUAUAGAAAAAUUUAAUAAAUUAAAUUUAAAUUAACUCAAACCAAACAUCUUCUAAAAUAUCUAAUUUAAUAUUUUAAAUAUUAAAGUGAAAAAAUAUAAAACAACAUCAUAAAUUAAAAAAUCAUAUAAAAAGUCUGAAUAAAUAGACCAUGAAGUGGAAGCGGGCUUCGCAACUAACAAUGAGCAAAAAAAUUAGCAUGACGUUUAAAAUUGGGUUUAAUCCGACCUUUGUUGAAGGAGAAAUCUGCAAUCAUAGAAUGAUUAGGAAAAGUAGUAUAGGGCUUGAAUUUAAUUUACGUUUAUGAAUUGCCGUGUAAUGUAAUAUAAUAAAAUUCAUUAAAAUUGUCUCUAAAGUUAAGAGGUAUUAAGUUUAAAACUCAAUUAUAGUCAAUUAUACUAAAAAAAAAAAGGAUUACAUUGCAUUAUGACAUUAAGGAGCUCAUAAUAUAUAAAUAAAAGAGUUUGUUAAGAUUGUGACACAUGUCAAUACGAUUUGGAAGGGUUUUUUGAAUCUUUUUAUCUGCUUUGAUCGAACAGUAGGAAACCCGACCUAUGAGAUAUUAGGAAUAGACCAUCGAUACCCCUAACCCUACCAAAACCCGAAAUGAAAAGGUAAAUCUUUUUAAAGAUGGCACCAUAAUGGGGUAUUAAAUGCGCUUGGGAUGAACAAUGUCAAUCUAAUGUGUCUAACAGUUAAAGCAUGGGCUAGCCGGCUCCGCUUUUAUUAGCCAACUGCCCGCCAUUAAAUUGUGCCGCCUGACAAAUCUGCUGAAAAAUCCUCUAGUCAUAUUCGAUGGAACGUGUCAUAGGAGAUGUUAGUAUGACCGGGGGUAUAUAUACAUCUGACAUAACUCGAAUUUGGGACAUUUCAUAACUCAUGACUCCACCAUCUUUGUUCUUGUAGGACUGAUGCUCGUAUUUUUUAAAAGAGCUCAGAGCUUCUGGGCAAAAAAAGAGAGAGAAAAUAAAUGACCUAUAGAUGGUCUAGAUUAGACCUAUAACGAGGUGUGACGACCUGUUGACGGGGUGUUUUGUUGAAGGGAAGACCUGCCUGAAGGAAGGGUUGACCUGCCUGAUGAAAGCAGGGAUAAGCAAGGCAGGCCUAAUGAGAGAAGGGCUGAAGUACCUAGGAUGAUCGUAGGGCUGGGGGAGCCUGGACGCUCGUCAAGGCAGGCCAGGUGUCCAAAAAAGCUUGGAUACUCAAAAGCUUACAAGGCAAGAGGAAAAGCCUAGAGGCUUGAAGAUUCGUUAAGCCUUGAGAACUCGGAAGCUCGAAAGGCUGGAGGGUGAGGGUAGCCCGGAAGCCUGAAGACUCGCCAGAGCAAGACUAGUCCGGAUGCGGAAGUUUCGAAUGCUUGGAAGCUCAAAAUGCAUGGAUUCCUCAAAGUGCUCGGAAGGUCUGACUGUUAGUGUAUUUGUCUUAGGCCACUAUCUUGUACCUUUUUGUAUGUCAUUUUAUUUAUUAAUAAAAGAGGUUUUAUUAUCAUUAUUAUUUGUUUGCAUGUUACAUAAUAAUGAUUAAUAUCCCUGGUUACUUAUUAUUAUAAUAAUAUGACUAGUAUGAUUAUUGAUUGAUAAUCAUGAGAUGAUUAUGUGUAUAUUGAUAUAAAUCAAUAAUCAUAGAUAUUUGUUAGACAACAAAGUAUUGGAUGGACCCACAUUGAGAUCACUACAUGGGUUAUUGUCAUAAGUGAAUCUCAAGAUAGUUAUGUUUUAUUCCUUUAACUUGAAAUUGUCAUAAUUUCCAACAUAAGGGCUGUUAUGUUUUGAUAUAACCAAACAUUAUUUUUAAUCGGAUAAUCAUAAAGAUUAUGAUUGAGCAUAAUAUAAAUUAUGUAGAGGAUAUUGAACAAUCAAUAUAGAAUUUAUCCCUCUCUUUGAGAGAGAUAUCUUCUGGACCCCUCGAUAAGUGAGACUGAGAAAUGUAUGACCGUACUCAAAUGAAUUGAUAAAUAUCAUUUGGUUUUAUCAGUUUACUUAGAGAUUGAGAAAUCAUAAGUUUGAACAUUAUAAGUUUGACAUUGACCAUGACUUAUAUUCAAACUAGAUAUCGUGUGACAAAUGAAUUAAUAAAUAUUCUGUUUAUUAGGUUUUAUCGAACUAUCAAUCCUUAUAUUAAUUGGAUAGUCAUAAUGUCUUGUUAGAGGCCGCUUAUGAUUUAUGAGUCUUGUUGGACUGGACCUAUUGCUAAUUAAUUAUUUAUUAUUAUUAUAAGAUAAUAAAUUUAAAAAAUCUACAACCUAUCUGUAACUGUUACAGAUAAAAGAUCUUUUCAUUUUCUUUUGAAAAGGACUUAUCGCAUAGAUAUAUUAGCAUCUGCGAUACUGUGAUGGUUGGAUUGAAUAUAACUCUUUUACGAAAAGAAGUGUGAAAAACGAAAAGACUGAGAGAAAACGAGUGAACAUAAAACACCUUCUUUGAAUUGCAUGAGAGAGGUUUUUUUCGUGAUCGUUUUUCUAGAUUGCAGAUUACGAGCAUAUAGCUAAUCCAUCCGUUGAGAGAGCUAGCACUUUAGAUGAAAACGUUCGCGUGGAUACCAUUGAGGGUGUUCGUUUCAGAAGCAGUACCAUCAGUCCGGAACAAUUUCUUUUUGUCAAGUCUAAAAGGUUAGUCUCUUUAUCCUUCCUUUCGAAUUAAACAAAAUACUCAGAUUUUGAAAUGGAAAACAGAGAUCUUUUAAUUUUCUGCUGCGUAAUUUUGAAUUGCAGUAAUCUCUGUGGUUCCUUACAUUGACAUGCAAAUUCUUUAGAGAAGUCAGAACGUCUGAGAUGAUUAAAAGGAACGACAGUGUUUUAUUUUUCCGCAUUUAUUUAAAAGAGUUGAAGGCUAUUUUAGUCUUUUAUUUUGGGAGCCAAGGUCGUUGAAUAUGCUAUUUAAGGAGCAAACGUCCCUCUAUUUUGGGUGUGAAAAAGUGCAUGAAGCAAAAAAAUAUUGUGAUUGUUGUUUUUUCUAUUGAUUUGUAAUCGAGCUUGUACUUGUGUGUGAUUAUUCUCAUCAUGAAUAAAAGAAUUCCCUCUUUCGAGAUGUAGGAUGAUCCACAAAGGUGGAUCCGAGCUCAUAAAACUCUCUGUGUUUUUCUUCUUUUGUGUUUCUUCUUUCUUUUCUUUAUUUUCUUAUUUUAUGUUACGUCGCUCACCAAAGAUCGGAGUUUAAGCCUCCAGCAACAACAAGUAGUAUCAGAGCACGGUUUGUGAGCAGGGAGGUUCAUUGCAGGUUAGUUUUCUUAAAGUCUGGUGACUGCGUGGUUGUCGAAACUGGUAAAAAAUAACCUUUUUGAUUAUCCACAAUUUUACAACUGUAGAUAGUGGUAAAAUGAUCGAAUCCACGGGAAAAUGAUACUUAUCUUCCUAUCAAUGACCAAGUAAAUAAAUAGACAAUAAAAGUAAAUUGGGAGGUUUUGAAGUUUGAUGACUAAACUAGAUUUAAAAGUAAUAAAGUAAAGCAAAUAAGAAAGUAAAGAGAAUUCAAUAAUGAGAAAAGCCUAGUUGAAGAAUUUGGAUCCACUUCAGUUGUUGGGAUUAAUCAUUGACACUUAUAGUUUUUUAUUUGACUCAAUAAAUUAGUUAUGGAGGUGGAAGACGCUUCUCACACCCAUAUCCCUCUUUAAGUAUAGAUUAAAUAGGAACUGUUCUCUAAUUAAUCACUAAUCAACAAGUUGCCAAAGAACGUCCUUGGGGCUUUUAACAUUAUACAACUGGCAAUUGCAUUAAGAAAUAGAGAGACCUAAUUCUAGCUACCCAAACGUAUGCUGAUAUUGCUAGAUUAUGCAAUCUCCUUGAUUUUUACACCAAGAGUUACUUGUGUUUGAAUAAUUCAAGCAAUUACGGACUUCAAACUAUCCAAACUAACGAAUUAUCACUUUGCAAUCAAGAAUCAAUGGGCCCUAUUGAUCUAAAUAACAAAGCAAUAAUAGAAUUAAGCAUGAAAUUGCAUAAAUAUUGAUAAAUAAAAGAUAAAUAUCAUGUGUUCAGAUCUCACAAUCCAUAAACAAACUGAAGUUUCACCUAAUCUUCAACUAGAAAAAGGGGUUUCAGCCAUUCAUGGAUGAAACUAACAAAAAUAAAAGAAAGAAGACAAAAAGAAGAAGAGGAAGGGCCGGCUGGUGUGGCGCGCAGCUGCUGGUGUAGUUUCUGUCGAAGAUAGAUCCCCCGUUUUGCUGGUUUGCUGUCCUCUAUUUAUAAUUGAUUUGAGUAGCCCUAAGUUUCCUUGUUUGGAUUGGAUUUCUUUACCCAAUUGGAGUUGGAUUCUUUGAAGGCAAUUGGAUCUUCUUGAGAUUUGGCUUCCUAAAUAUGUGGGAUAGGGUGCUGAGGUGUCUUGAAGAUUUGCUGAGUUGUAUUCAUGUGGUUGGAGAGGAAAAGUCUUUUUAAAGAUUUAAAAUUUGAAUUUCUCGCGAUUCUGCUGUCUGCUGUUGCAAACUCUAUUUUCCCGGGUUGUUUGGGCAAACAACCCGGUCAAACAGUUUGUCUUAGUGCUGUCUGUCACUCUGCCUUUGUUCUACGAGUCUGUUUGCCCAGUUUAUUUGGGAAAACAGUCUGGUCAAACAAUAAAUCAUCCUUCUCCCAUUUCAGCUGCAACUUGGUUUGGGCAAACUAGGCUUGAUUUCUUUUAUUCUCUUUUGGGCGAUUUUAAGGCCUUUUUAUCAAAUUACCCUUUUACACCAUUUCCUGCAAAAUAAGAUCAAAACCACAAAAUUAGGUAGAAAAUAUGUAAAUCAAUAUUGAUAACAACAUGAAAAAUGGGUCUAAAUUUGGUUUGAUCAUCUGGUCAGGAAAGGAAUGACGUUGGCGAUGCAGAAACUUGAUGUUGAGAAGUUUGAUGGGAGAGGAGAUUUCAUGCUUUGGAAGGAAAAGAUCGAGAUCAUGGGGCUGCAAGAUGCUCUUAAUAAUGAUCCAGAAACAUGAAAUCUUGAGGAAGAGAAUGAAUCAAAGAAAGUAAGAACUCCAGUCCUGAAAAGAAUUCUUUCUUUAACUCCUGAAACCACAAAAUCUUCUAGGGCUGCUUCAAUCAUCACCUCAGAUCAAGAAGUAAGAUCCAAAGAGAAAGAGAUUAAGGAGCUGGUCCAAUGGUUAAGAAGAGAGAGAAGUAAGAAGGUCAGGAACUUGAUAGUUCUGUCUCUCGGAUCAAAUUCUCAGAAAGGUGAUCCAUGAGAAGAUUGCUUUUGGGAUCUGAAGACUUUUGGAGAAACUCUACCUAGAACAAUCUUUACCUAACAAAAUGUACCUGAUGCAGAGGGUUUCAGGCUUCAAGAUGGACGAGGGCAAGACCAUUAAGGAGAACUUGGACAUUUUCUAGAAGAUGUUGUCCGACUUGCAGAAUCUUCAGGUUAAGGUGGAGGAGGAAUUCCAAGCAGUGUAUCUGUUGAAUUCUUUGCCUCCCCUUUACGAAUAGUUGAGGGAGGUUUUGAAGUAUUCAAGAACCAGUAUCACAGUUAAAGUGAUGAAGGCUGCAACAAGGUCCAAAGAAGCAUAACUCAAUGCUUAAAAGGGUACUAGAAAUCAGGGUGAAGGUCUGGUAGUAAGGGGAAGAUUUGAGUACAGAGACAACAAGGGCAAGAACAAAUCGAGGGCAAGAACAAAUCGAGGGCAAGAUUGAAGUUCAAAAGCAAAGCAGAAUGUUGGUAUUAUGGCAAGAAUGGUCAUCUUAAGAAGGACUGCUACUCUAGGAAAAACAAUAAGAAGGUUUCUCAUAAUGAGAAGGGAGAAGCGGCAAUUGCAAAUAGCAAUAUGCAAUAUUUUGAAGUUUCGGCUGCAGAAACUUUAGAGGUAUUUUCCAUCAAUGAGUUGGAGAUUAAAGAAUAGUGGAUUUUGGAUUAAGGCUGCACAUUUCAUAUGACCACAAGAAAUGAAUGGUUUGCCACAUUUGAAGAAAAAGAUGGAGGCAGAGUCAAGAUGGGAAAUAAUACAACCUACCAUGUCAAAGGAUUCAGAAUAGUGCAAAUCAUGAUGCAUAAUGGCUCGACUGUGAUGUUAACUCAAGUGAGGUACAUUCCUAAACUCAAAAGAAAUCUUAUUUCUCUUGGAGCACUUGAAUUGCAGGAUUGCUAGUACAAGGCUCAUAAAGGUGCAAUGAAGAUUGUCAAAGGAUGCAGAGUCAUCAUGAAAGGAGAGCUAAUAGAAGGUUUAUACGUUUUGCAAGGUAAAACGGUCUUUGGUGAAGCAAAUCCAUUUGAGGCUACUCAGGAUCAAACUUGUCUUUGGCACAAUAGGCUUGGACACAUGAGUCAGAAGGGAAUGGAGACUCUGGUCAAAAAGGUUAUGUAUCAAGGUACUAAUCUAUCAUCUCUAAGUUUCUGUGAGAGUUGUGUCUUUGGUAAAUCUCACAGGUUUUCCUUUGAGAUCGGAAAGCAUACAACAAAAGGAAUUCUUGACUACCUUCACUCAGACCUAUGGAGAUCACCAAACAUUCCUUUCUUUCUGUCAAAGUGUCAGUAUUUCAUCUCCUUUAUUGAUGAUUACUCGAGAAAGAUUUGGAUUCUAUUUCUGAAAUCAAAGGAUGAAGCCUUUGAGAAGUUUGCGGAAUGGAAAUACUUAGUGGAGAAUCAGACAGGAAAGAAAAUCAAGACAUUGAGGAUAGAAAAUGGUCUUGAAUUCUAUAAUCAAAAGUUUGAUUCAUUUUGCAGGAAGCAGGGAAUCCGAAGGCACAAGACAUGUGCUUAUACAUCACAAUAGAAUGGUGUUGCAGAAAGGAUGAAUAGGACAAUAAUGGAAAAGGUCAGAAGCUUGCUUAGUGAGUCAGGUUUAUCUCAAAAUUUCUAGGCUAAAGCUGCAUCUACUUAUGUAUACCUGAUCAAUAAGUCCCCAUCUACUGCUAUAGAGUUAAAUGUUCCAGAACAGAUGUGAUCAGGGGCUGAGCCUUCCUAUUCACACUUGAGAAUGUUUGGUUGUGUGGCUUACAUCCAUACAAAUCAGGGUAAACUAUUGCCAAGAGUAAGAAAGGGGAUAUUCAUUGGAUAUCCUCAAGGGAUCAAAGGUUAUAGGAUUUGGCUACUGGAGGAGAAGAAGUGUAUCAUUAGCAGAGAUGUUAGGUUCAAUGAAGAACAAGUGUUCAAGGACCUGUAGGAAGAGAAAGAGGAAGAGGUUACAAGCAAAUCAUAGGUAAGGAGACUAUUACUCUUCAUGUUCCUACAUUACAGAUCAAGAACAAUGAAAAGACGAAAGAUUAAGGUGGAGUUCCUCAGAGAAUAAUUGAGAGUUCAUUAGGAUCUAAAAAGAAGGACAUCUCUUAAAAUGAUGAAUCUGAGAAUAUUGAAGAUGCAGAACAGGGACAAAGGCCGAAGGAAGAGGUGGAUUCCGAGUAAGAAGAUCUUAGUGAUUAUAUACUUGCAAAGGAUAGAGGUAGAAGAGAAAUUAAACCCCCUUCAAGAUAUAAUGAGGCUAAGACUGUGACUUUUGCCUUCACAUUUGCAGAAGAGGUUGAAAUUGAAGAACCAGAGUUAAAUCAAGAAGUCAUGGCCAUAUUUAUAGGCGGGGCAAGGUGUUGGAGUUUGGCGAAUGAGCUGGUCUGUUAAGAUUGGAUUGGCCGGGAUGGCCAAGCCAAGUGGGAUGAGUCGCGGAGUAGGAGAAAGUUGUAGGCGGAACGAGCUAAUGGUGAGAUGAGCUGCUGAGGGGACGAGCAUCAUAUGGAUGCAAGGUUGAGGCAAGCCCAGGAGCUCGAGGAGGCUAGAGAAGUGUCGGGAGCUCGGAGGGGACAGGAGUGCCUAGAAGCUUGGGAAGGGCUAGUGAGCUAGGGAUGCUCGCAAGACAGGCAGAGUUACAUAGAAGCUCGAUGUACGUGGAAGCUCAAGAUGCUGAAGACUUACCUAGGGCUAGUAAAGCCCAGAAGCCAUGCCAAGCAAGAACAGAAAGGAGCAAGGGGUGAAGCGCGCCCAAUGUAAAGAUCACUUCGAAACACGAGGCAGAUAUGUGUAGUGUACUGCUUCUCCGUGAAUAUUCUAGAUGGAUUUUGGCUUUUUGGAGCCUUCUUGAAGUGUCACACACAGAGGCAGUAACCUAAGGUAUUUUUGGGGUAAUUGGAACAGGGCUGGAUUUGGCUUAUCCAUUUAGAGUUAUCAGCAGGGUCACCAUAAAGAGAUCACUGGAAUGCUAUGAAAUGGGUACUCAGGUAUAUCAGAGGAACUCAAAAGCUGAAACUCAAUUAUGUUAGGGAAUCAGGUCUGAAGGUCAGAGGUUUUUGUGAUUCUGAUUAUGCAGCCGAUUUAGAUAAGAGAAGGUCGGUGUCAAGGUAUAUAUUCACUAUUGGAGGAAAUGUUGUAAGCUGAAAGUCAGGUCUGCAGUAUGUCGUAGCUCUUUGACCAUAGAGGCCAAGUGUACGGCAUUAACAAAAGCCAUUAAAGAGAGAAUUUGGUUAAAAGGCCUGAUGGAGGAGCUCAGAUUCAAAUAAGAGACAGUGGAGGUAUUUUGUGAUUCUCAGAGUGCCAUCAGUUUGUCAAAAAACAAUAUGCAUCAUGAAAGAACCAAACACAUAGAUGUUAGAUUGCAUUUCGUUAGAGAUUUGAUAUCUAAAGGUAUUGUUAAGGUUUUGAAAAUCUACACAGAAGAAAAUCCUGCAGAUGCACACCAAGAUUUUACCGGUUAACAAGUUCAAAAGGAAGUUGAGCUUGUUGAGGCUGACCGAAGAAUAAAGAGGGUUAGGUUGAAGAAGGAAUGAGGAUUCACAUGAGUUGAAGAAGUUCAAGUAAGGUGGAGAAUUGUAGGACUGAUGCUCAAAUUCUUCAAAAAAGCUUGAAACUUUUGUGCAAAAAUAAAGAGAGAGAAUAAACGACCUGUAGAUGGUCUGUGUAAUACCCGGCUAGACUCCGGUAUCGGAAUUCCUAUCGUCCGGUGGAAUCUCAGAUGUCAGAAACUUCUAGAAGGGUAAAAUCAUAUUUUAUGAAAUGAUUUAAUGUAUUUUAUGAUUUUAAGUAAAAAAGAAAAUUGAGUUUUAAUGAAAAUAGCCUUGGAGGAAGAUUCAGGUUCGGCCGCCGAACCUUAUGUUCGGCCGCCGAAUAUAGCAUGCAUGCGGAGGCACGUUAGGCCCCCGAAAGUGGACUGGCCAACCACCUAUAAAGGGGUCCCCAUGUCCGAACGGGCGAGGUUUUCUCCCCAUUUUCGGCCAAAGUGAGUCUCCGCCGCCCUCAUGCCGAUCUUGAGUUCUUCCUUCAAAUCUUUCAUGAUUU